CACUCCGGUGGCCUAGUGGUCAGAGCGUCCGCCUCGGAUGCGAGAGGUCGUGGGUUCGAACCCUGGCUGAGUCA